rnacentral:lncRNA from 1 species
UUUCAAAGGAAGUGGGGAAGAGGAAGGAGCUUAUGAACAUAACUUCUGCCAAGGGUGAAAAUCACCAGUGGGACUCAGUUUUCCUACGAGACAUGGCAGCAGCAUUUGAGCACCAGAGAUACAUGGGGAAUUUUCUGGACCCAAACUUGUCACCACCUAGCUGUGUGGCCUUGAGCAAGUCUCUGCUGUUCUCUGAACCUCAAUUUCCCCACUAGUGCAGUGUGAAGGGUGGUCUAUGGGUCCUCCCAGCUCUGAGGUGGCCCCUCUCAAUUCUUGCUUCCCUUCCACCCUCUGACAAUGGGGCCUCUCUGACCGGCCCACACAUGAGGAGGGGUAGGGAUGACGUGGUUGGUGUCCACAGCCCUGAGUCCUCUGGCUAUUCCACCCCCCACCUCCCCUGACACAAACAAUCCUCAGUCGCUUCCCCCUACCGCCCCCCAGAAUUUGGGCACAGCUGAGGCUUGCUAUGCCCUGGCCACCCCAUGAAUCACCCCUCUAUGGUACCCGGGGGAGUGGUCCAGGGAGCAUCCUACACCCUACGCAGGGUGAGGGCCAGAAUGGAGGCCCUCAAGCAGGCAGUGUCCACAGGAACAAUGGGGGCCUGUGGCUGACAGCCGGAAUGCAGCCAUUGUCCUGCCCUGGCCCCCAACCCCAAGGCCGCAGGUCCCCAGGCCAGGCAGGCUGGCGUGGGUCGGUGCGUCAGGCGCUCGUGUGCCAGGGCUAGGACACAUGGCCUGCCGCUUCCCCUCUCUGGGCAGGCGGGUGUGUGGGCCAUUGGAUCAGACCCCACCUCCACACCCCAGCCUCACAAAGGAUCCCGUGCACAGGGGACGCAGUUCACUGAUGCUGAUGAGGCAGCCAAAACAGACCCCAGCUCCUCCGCUAAUGAAGGCCGCUGCCUGCCUGCGCAGUGAGGGAGCCCGAGCGCAUAAUAAACUGGCGCAUCCUCUGGGAGGAGCCGCUGCCCAAGUCACAGCUCCGGGGACCUGGCAGGGGGUCUGCAUCAAGCCACCAGGCUCCAGCUGCAGCAGAGACUCCCACCCCAGGGACCAUCCCUUCACUGGAGAACUAACUGGGCAGCUUCGCGAGCCACGGCAGGUGAGCAGUGUCAGGGCCCUGAGCAAGUGCCCCCCUACAUGGCAAACUUAGGUGUACCCCGAAGAUCCACUGACUCCAUCUGGGGGUCCUUCUUUACUUCUCCCCCAGAAUGGCCCAACAAGGCCAGGACUCCAUCUCUACACACACACACACACACACUCACACUCACAGCCCUAUUACUGCCCCUCUGGAUUGUCUUAUUAGCCAGGGAGACCAGGCUGAGACUAGAAAGCUCACCCAGCCACUGCUGGCCUAGUCUCCAUCUGCCACGGAGGCCAUCUGCCCCUGUCGGGGGGUGGCUUAUAAUGCUACCAGCCAGGAGCAGAAGCGAGUGGCACCCCCAGUCCCCAAGUGCCAGAUGGACAGUGCAUCCUCCCACCUACCACUCCACCUUUAAAGAGCCCUCUCUGCGGGAGGGAUGUUUGCCCCCAACCUCCUGGGAUCAAAUUAGCUAGAGAUGCGAGAUGGGGGCUUCCUUCCCUGGCCCCUGCCCAUCCGGAGCUGACUGUCCCAGUACCCUGGCCAUCCACUGCUGGCCACUGGAGACCACAGGCUCCAGAGCUCGAGGGCCCUGCCAAGUCCUCCCCUGCCUUGAAGCAGGAAGGCAAGCGCUGCCACCUCCAAAGGGGCUGCCCCAACACUACUCGACUGGCUCCAACCCCGCCCCUUCACCCCUCCGUCCCUGGGCUCUGCUGCCGAGCAGCUGAGGAGAGAGGAUGGGGAAAUUUUCAGUGCUCUCGGGACAAGUUGUUUCUGCUGUAGAAGCUGGUUUUUUGGUUUGGAAAGGUUUUUUUUUUCCACCCAGUAAUGUGAAAACAUGAAACCUGAAACCAACUCCCCACAUGUGUCACCUCAGAGAGAAGCCUUUGGGGUAACUUGGAGAAAGCUGUAAAUGAGUCAUUCUGAUUCGGGGCGGCAGGGGGGUGCAGCCCAGCUGCCUCCAGGACACCACAAUUUCAUUAACACUUAUGAUCUGAGCAAGGAUGUCAGGUGACAGACAACAGGAGGAAAGGGCUUCCAUCCCCCCCUCAACCCCAAACACAGCAGUCCCCAGAUAAACUCCUGCCUAGAAAUAGCUAGGUCCUUGUCUCUGUUCUGGACCAGCCUCCACUACCACCCCAUGAAGCCGAGGGCUCAGGACUGCACCACUGCCCAGCACCAAGCAAUCUGCUUCCCUCACGUGAGAGAGGAGACAGCCGUUGCCAUUACGAGGGCCAUCAAGUGAAGCAGACAAGACUGGACAGGGAGAACCAGGUAGAAACUUUGGUUAGGAGAGAGAGAGAUGAGGCAGCACUUUCUCACGUGAUGAUGACAGAUCCAGGAAUAAGGAACAAGGAGACUCCGUACAGGCAGUCUGAAGAAGCAGGAGAGAUGUUUUUCCUCCGACCAGAGCAGUUUAGGAAAGGAGAACAAGCAGAAGCACGACCUGGGCAUCCACUUGAGCCUCCUACCUCUAAGAGGUGGACUUGGGGCAGGCACCCCUGCGCCUGGUGGUAGUUGUGUAGCUUCUCUCUGACCCUUCCCUGGACUUCCUGCUGAGACAGACCCAUGGAGCUGGGGGGGAGCCCUGCCAGCAGGGAGGCCCCGUGACCUGGCUGGCGAGAGAGUGCACCCUCUUGACCCUAGCAGGCAGCUGCACAAGCCCAAGAAACCCGAAGUCGGUAUUUCAGGUCUGCCCUCAAUUCCUCCACGCACCUGGGGCUCUGCGCCAUGACUCCCACCCAAGCUUCGGCCUGCCCUUCCCCAACACCCUGUGCAUGAGGCUCUGUGAACUGCCGUGCCGGGAGAGCUGGAGGCAGGGAGGCCAGCACCAUACACCCACUUGCCUCACUCCUUCAAGUCCCAACAGGCCCUGCCCUCACCGGCCUCCACAGGUAGGCAGAGCGAGUCUGCGUCUGCUGGCUGCCUUCCCUGGAGGGUGCGCAGCUCUAAUUGCUCACUGUCCCACAGCCAGCAGCACGGGGAGAGACAGCAGGCUGUAAACACUCACAACUGCAUGUGGGGAGCCUCGGCCAUCUCCACCUUCUGCACAUCCUGGGACUCCAAGACAUGCUUCCUCCGUGGUUCUCACUAGAAAUGUGAGGGGAAAGCCCUUUCGUGCACAGUCCUCGUCUUGGGGCCACGCUAAUCUCAAGCUGGGGGAGUGGGGAUGAGGAAAAUCUUUUUUCACAAGAGCUGUCCCCUAUGCUUUAAAUCCAAUAAACAAAUACCUACGAAGUGCCUACGGAGUACA